AGUGAACGCUGGCGGCAGGCCUAACACAUGCAAGUCGAACGGUAGCACAGUAAGAGCUUGCUCUUACGGGAGGAGAGUGGCGGACGGGUGAGGAAUACAUCGGAAUCUACUUUCUCGCGGGGGAUAACGUAGGGAAACUUACGCUAAUACAGCAUACGACCUACGGGUGAAAGCAGGGGAUCUUCUGAACUUGUGCGAUUGAAUGAGCCGAUGUCGGAUUAGCUAGUUGGCGGGGUAAAGGCCCACCAAGGCGACGAUCCGUAGCUGGUCUGAGAGGAUGAUCAGCCACACUGAAACUGAGACACGGUCCAGACUCCUACGGGAGGCAGCAGUGGGGAAUAUUGGACAAGGGGCUCAAGCCUGAUCCGACCAUACCGCGUGGGUGAAGAAGGCCUUGGGGUUGUAAAGCCCUUUUGUUGGGAAAGAAAAGCAGCAGAUUAAUACCCCGCUGUUCUGACGGUACCCAAAGAAUAAGCACCGGCUAACUUCGUG
rnacentral:rRNA from 1 species